CACCAUUUCAAUUAACAAGCUGUGAAGAACCACAUUGUGAGUUACAAAAUGUUGCCAAAGCACCAUAAAUAUCAGGACGAUGUGAAAAAUAACCAACCAUCAACCAUCAUUCUCAUCAACAAUCGGGGUUUGGAAUAUACAUGUCCAGUGCUAUUUUGAACUAUCUCGGCCCUACAAAAUAACUACAAAACAUAGUCACCAUCACAUUGUCGAUAAAAUGGAGAAUGUGGUUGUCUAUACCAUUACCGAUAUCACUAUCGACAAUAUCAGCAUAGUUGGCACAAAAAUAUUUGCAUCUGAUAUUGUUACCCCGCAGAAUUUUGCAUGUUUUCCACAAAAAGGGGGGAUUGAACUCUAAUUGACAAUGGUGAUGCAAAGAGGAAUUUGUUGGUGAACAGAGAGAAGCCACUUCACGUCAUCAUCAGUCGUAAUCUUUACUGGUGCAACAGGCACGUGUGUCAUGCCAGGGACAACAAAUCUCAUCUCCAUAUUGUAUAAAGUGGUAUCGACAAUAAGGAGUUCCCGCACUCUAUCAUACAACUCCGUGUAUGAAAUAAUUCUUGAAACAACAAGAGAUUUCGUUUCUUUUCCACUCCAAGACCAUCCAUCUUGUUCAUUUUUCUUAAAUUCACCAAAAUAGGAAAUAACUAAUCGGAACUCGGAACUCAUACCUGGAAUUUAUUGAAAAUCGUCAAAGUUUAGCAAAAGACACAAAAAUCUCCACAUAUAUUUUUG
rnacentral:lncRNA from 1 species